CUAGAAAAAUGGGAUUUGAACCCACACCUAAGACACCAAAAUUCUUUGUACUACCACUAUACUAUUUCCUA
rnacentral:tRNA from 1 species